rnacentral:misc_RNA from 1 species
AAGUCGUAACAAGGUUUCCGUAGGUGAACCUGCGGAAGGAUCAUUAACACGUAUCCAACGUUAAAACCCCCCGUGAACCUUCAUUAUGCUGGUAAAGUACCAUCGUACGUAGCAAUCCCUGGUAAAUCAUCGCCGAACAGUUUUCGAUUCAGGGACGUCUGCAAGGAGCGUGCAUGUUGUGCGAAGCAAGUGGCCUGGCAUCCCCAAGCAGUUAGUGUCUGAAAGUGUCAUUAACUGUGUAAGGAUGACGCAGUCACGAUCGUUGGAGGCCCACACGGCCGACGACCGGGUCACUGGGCGCAAGCCCCCCUAUAACAAACGCUGCCAAUCGCGGCCGCGAUAAUACGCAGUCGACAAAAAACCGAACAACUGUUAACAAUGGAUAUCUUGGUUCUC